rnacentral:rRNA from 1 species
GAUGAACGCUAGCGGCAGGCCUAACACAUGCAAGUCAGGGGUAACAUAGAAAAGCUUGCUUUUCUGAUGACGACCGGCGCACGGGUGCGUAACGCGUAUACAACCUACCUUUUAGCGGGGAAUAGCCCAGGGAAACUUGGAUUAAUGCCCCAUAGUAUAUGGACUUCUCCUGAAGUUUAUAUUAAACAUUUAUGGCCAUUAGAUGGGUAUGCGUCCUAUUAGCUAGUUGGUGUGGUAACGGCACACCAAGGCUACGAUAGGUAGGGGUCCUGAGAGGGAGAUCCCCACACUGGUACUGAGACACGGACCAGACUCCUACGGGAGGCAGCAGUGAGGAAUAUUGGACAAUGGGCGGGAGCCUGAUCCAGCCAUGCCGCGUGCAGGAAGACUGCCCUAUGGGUUGUAAACUGCUUUUACAGAGGAAGAACCACCCCCACGUGUGGGGGUUUGACGGUACUCUGCGAAUAAGGAUCGGCUAACUCCGUG